rnacentral:tRNA from 1 species
GGGUAGGUAUGCAAAUGGCUGAAGCAGACUGACUGUAAAUCAGUUGUCCUUGACCACUGGGGGUUCGAGUCCCUCCCUGCCCACCU